rnacentral:tRNA from 1 species
GUGCCCGUAGCUCAGGUGGAUAGAGCAGCGGUUUCCUAAACCGCGUGUCGGGGGUUCGAGUCCCUCCGGGCGCA